AGCGAACGCUGGCGGCAGGCCUAACACAUGCAAGUCGAACGAACCUUUCGGGGUUAGUGGCGGACGGGUGAGUAACACGUGGGAACGUGCCUUUAGGUUCGGAAUAACUCAGGGAAACUUGUGCUAAUACCGAAUGUGCCCUUCGGGGGAAAGAUUAAUCGCCUUUAGAGCGGCCCGCGUCUGAUUAGCUAGUUGGUUGAGGUAAUGGCUCACCAAGGCGACGAUCAGUAGCUGGUCUGAGAGGAUGAUCAGCCACAUUGGGACUGAGACACGGCCCAAACUCCUACGGGAGGCAGCAGUGGGGAAUCUUGCGCAUUGGGCGAAAGCCUGACGCAGCCAUGCCGCGUGAAUGAUGAAGGUCUUAGGAUUGUAAAAUUCUUUCACCGGGGACGAUAAUGACGGUACCCGGAGAAGAAGCCCCGGCUAACUUCGUG
rnacentral:rRNA from 1 species